UACGGAGGGGGCUAGCGUUGUUCGGAAUUACUGGGCGUAAAGCGCACGUAGGCGGCUUUGUAAGUUAGAGGUGAAAGCCCAGGGCUUAACCCUGGAAUUGCCUUUAAGACUGCAUCGCUCGAAUUGUGGAGAGGUGAGUGGAAUUCCGAGUGUAGAGGUGAAAUUCGUAGAUAUUCGGAAGAAUACCAGUGGCGAAGGCGACUCACUGGACACAUAUUGACGCUGAGGCACGAAAGCGUGGGGAGCAAACAGG
rnacentral:rRNA from 1 species